UACAGAGGGUGCGAGCGUUAAUCGGAAUUACUGGGCGUAAAGCGCACGUCGGUGGCGACGUAAGUCGGGUGUGAAAGCCCCGGGCUCAACCUGGGAACUGCAUUCGAUACUGUUUGGCUAGAGUAUGAGAGAGGGAGGUAGAAUUCCACGUGUAGCGGUGAAAUGCGUAGAUAUGUGGAGGAAUACCGGUGGCGAAGGCGGCCUCCUGGCUUAAUACUGACGCUGAGGUGCGAAAGCGUGGGGAGCAAACAGG
rnacentral:rRNA from 1 species